UCCUAGUAAUGGAGCAGGGUAAAUUCUUCAGUGCCAGAUAUGUCACAGGUCUCUAAGCUAAAGUUCACUAACCAAUUACUGGGUGUACUGAAGAAGGGAGUCCUCUUCAGACAUGGAUUGAAAUGGAUGACCACUGAGAUCUCUUCCAGCUCUGAAGUUCAGUGAGAAUUAUCCUGGAGAUGGCAGCAAAGUACAUAGAAGCAGGGAAGCAAAGCAUAACACAUAAACAAGCUGAGAGAUUAAUGAUGCAGUCCAAGUUUGAUGAUGACAAUCCUGAAAUGCAUCAGCCUCUCUUACUUUUCCAGCAACACUGUAGGUCCAGCUCUCUGUCUUCUGUGUCAUCGGAUGUGGGCAGGAGGGUCUUGAGAGCAAAGAUGUAUUGCAAUAAAAUGCAUGCUGUAGUCAGGAAACAAUGAAUAAUGCUCUACAGACAUAGAAGCAUGGAGCAGAAAUGGAAGAGAGAGCUAUUUAACUCAGUGAAGGAAGAAUUAAUCAACAGUCAUUAUCAUCAUCACCAUCAUUUUAGCUAAUAGUUAUAUGGCACUUUAAGGUUUGCAAAAUGUGCAUUGUCUUAUUUUAUUCUCACAACAAUCCUGGGAAGGAAGAGCUACUAUUAUCCCCAUUUUAUAGAUGAGGAAUGUUGGACAGACAGAUUAAAUGGUUUAAGAAUUAUGUAACUAGUGAAUGUCAGAGGCUGGAUUUGAACUUGGGUAUUUCCAAUGCCAGGUCCAGUCCUCCAUUCACUGCUCUGUUGGUUAUGGGUGGACUCAAGACAUAGUAAAGUCAUUAUAAACUGGAUGACUUCUUUGGGAAUCUUGUAGAGGGUUUCUUGCUCAAUUAUAAUUUCCCUCAAUGGCCUUUGAAGUUCAUUUCAAUUCUGAUCUCCCGGGAAUGGACUUAUUGCAACUUAUUUAGAGCUACCCUGGAAAUGAAAACUUGGGGUAAAAGUAAAAGCUUUCUAAAGGAAGGCUAGCGAUAAUCACAGAAAAGCAAGUCAAUUUGAAUUCUACAACUCUUAUAUGUUCAAUUUAUCACACAUUUUAAAAGAAAAUCUAGCUUUCCAAUAGAAAUUUAAAGUUUCAUAUACAGUCAAUCCCCUCUCUGUUCUAUGCAACUGGAAUUUUUCAUUUUAUUUGAUAUUAGUUAAGUUCAGAAUAAAAACUUUUAAAAA
rnacentral:lncRNA from 1 species